UUAUUUUAGCUUACCCAAGAGGAGGAGGAGGAGGAGGAGGAGGAGGAGGAAUACAGGGCAGGAAAAAAUACUAGACAUUGCAGCUACCAGGGAACCCUUAUGAGUAGAUGGUGGAUGGCAACUACUUCUCUUUUCUCUUUCAUUUUUUGGAUUUUACAGGAUUUCUUUGCUGCAUUCAACUCCAAGAUGAGGCAGAACUGACACAUGCACACACACACAAACACACACUUGCUCUGUGUCUCACACACGCACACACACUCAUACACGCAAUCUCACCGGAUAAAAAGGCAGAAAGAGAGACCGCUGGCUAGCAAGAGGGGGGCAACAUCUACAGCUCCAGAAGCUAAGGAGAGCUCAAACGCUUUUUCCUUUCAGAUCUUGGACACAGUUGAAGACGGCAGGAUGAAACUCCAGUGAAAAAACCUUGGGAGGGGGGAUUUUGUUUUGAUUCGGGGGGGGGGGAUCGUGUGUGUGUGUGCUUUUUUCAGUGUGGGUGAUUUUUCUGCCCCCCCCUUUUUUGGUAAAUUUUUCAUUUUUUCCCCUCACCGGUGCAGUACUUUAUUUGUGAGACGGGAGGGCAUGUAGUGAUCUCACAAAUCUUACAAGAAAAAUAUUUUUUUUUCCUUCUUGUGAGUGCAAUUGUUUUUUCUGCCAAGCUGCCCAGCACAGAAGAAACCUGCAUUUCAGCCACUAAACUGCAUUGCAAUUACUGAGACCGAGAAUCUCCUUUGAUGGCGUCUUUUUAUGUUUUAUUUUUAUUUCCAUUUCCUUGUCUUCUGGCUUUGAGAAGAGUGCUCGGGGCGAGGAAUUGGUGCAUUCGAUUCCUUUAAUUGCAUUUUUCCCCCUCAGUGGGGAGGAGGUGCUGCUGUCGCUACAUUUAAUUGUCAUCCCCCCCCCCUCCUCCCAGGGGCAAUGCAUUUCUUUAUUUUUUUAAAAAACUGAAACAUUUUUAACUGAUGGCGCAUUGAAUCUUUUUCAGUGCAGUUUUUUUUAAAGGGGCAGUUUGGUGCAUUGGUCUCUCCCCCCCCCCCCCCACCAUUUCAAUUCUACAAUUUUGGGGGAUUUUUCUUGCCGUUCUUCUGGGGUGUGUCCCCCCCCCCCCGCCCAUCAUUGCAACCUUUUGGGAAGAGGGCGGAGGAUUUCUUCGUCGCUUCCACCCUGCAAAGGGAGGUGAGAGUGACCAUGUCCAGGAUUUCUGCCGCUUUCCCCAGCCGUGCUCCAGCCUGAGUGCCCCCUCCUUCUGCUGCAAGCUCCCCUAGCAGCAUCCUACAGCAGCCGAUGGGAUGUGAUGAGCUCCUUCUCUCCAGCAGCAUCCUCAGCGGCAUAACCCCCGGCCCUUUGCUCUUUGCAGGAUGGCUCGGUUUGGAGAUGAGGUGCCAGCCCGCUAUGGGGCAGGAGGUGCAGGGGGAGCUGGGUCUGGAACAGCGAGCAGUGGAGGUGGCCGGGGCGCCGGGGGCGUCCGGCAAGGUGGUCCCCCGGGGGCCCAGAGGAUAUACAAACAGUCGAUGGCCCAGCGAGCCCGAACCAUGGCACUCUACAACCCCAUUCCUGUUCGGCAGAGCUGCCUGACUGUCAACCGCUCCCUCUUCCUCUUCAGUGAGGACAACGUGGUGAGGAAAUACGCCAAAAAGAUCACCGAAUGGCCUCCUUUUGAAUACAUGAUUUUAGCAACCAUCAUAGCAAACUGCAUUGUCCUUGCUCUUGAGCAGCAUCUGCCUGAUGAUGACAAGACGCCAAUGUCAGAACGACUGGAUGACACGGAACCAUACUUCAUUGGAAUAUUUUGUUUCGAGGCUGGAAUUAAAAUUAUUGCCUUAGGAUUUGCUUUCCACAAAGGCUCCUACCUAAGGAAUGGCUGGAACGUGAUGGACUUUGUGGUGGUUCUCACAGGCAUCUUGGCAACAGUUGGCACCGAUUUUGACCUGCGGACUCUGCGGGCAGUUCGUGUGCUCCGGCCACUAAAGCUAGUGUCGGGAAUCCCAAGUUUACAAGUCGUCCUCAAGUCCAUCAUGAAGGCCAUGAUACCUCUGCUACAAAUUGGCCUCCUCCUAUUUUUUGCAAUCCUUAUUUUUGCAAUCAUAGGGUUAGAAUUUUAUAUGGGGAAAUUUCACACCACCUGCUUAGACAUUCAUACAGAGGAAAUCAAGCUUGAAGUUCCAUGUGGAACAGCCGCACCAGCGCGCCUCUGUCCUAAUGGGACCAAGUGUGACAAGUACUGGGAUGGACCCAAUUACGGGAUCACACAGUUUGAUAACAUCUUGUUUGCUGUGCUGACUGUCUUCCAGUGUAUCACCAUGGAAGGGUGGACCGACCUCCUUUAUUCUAGCAAUGAUGCCUCAGGGAAUGCUUGGAACUGGUUGUACUUCAUCCCCCUCAUAAUCAUUGGAUCCUUUUUUAUGCUCAACCUUGUGCUGGGGGUGCUUUCUGGGGAGUUUGCCAAAGAAAGAGAGCGGGUGGAGAACCGACGAGCAUUUCUGAAGCUGAGAAGACAGCAGCAGAUUGAACGGGAACUCAAUGGCUAUAUGGAGUGGAUCUCCAAAGCGGAAGAAGUGAUCCUGGCUGAAGAUGACAUAGAAGGGGAACCUCGUCAUCCCUUCGAUGUUGGAGCUCUUCGAAGGGCCACAAUCAAGAAAAGCAAGACAGACUUGCUGAACCCAGAGGAAGCAGAUGACCCACUGGCUGACAUUUCCUCAGUGGCAGGUUCACCCUUCGCUCGAGCCAGCAUCAGAAGUGCCAAGCUGGAAAACGCCACUUUCUUUCACAAAAAGGAGCGGAGGUUGCGUUUCUAUAUCCGCCGAAUGGUCAAAACUCAGGCCUUUUACUGGACAGUCCUCAGUCUGGUAGCUCUCAACACUUUGUGUGUUGCUAUAGUACACUACGACCAGCCAGAUUGGCUAUCUGACUUCCUCUACUAUGCAGAAUUCAUUUUCUUAGGGCUCUUUAUGUCCGAAAUGUUUAUAAAAAUGUAUGGGCUCGGAACGCGGCCUUACUUUCACUCAUCCUUCAACUGCUUCGACUGUGCUGUUAUUAUUGGGAGCAUCUUUGAGGUGAUCUGGGCUGUGGUGAAGCCUGGCACUUCCUUUGGGAUCAGCGUCUUACGAGCUCUCAGGUUACUGCGCAUUUUCAAAGUUACAAAGUACUGGGCUUCCCUUCGGAACCUAGUUGUAUCUCUGCUGAACUCCAUGAAGUCCAUCAUCAGCCUCCUUUUCCUCCUCUUCCUCUUCAUAGUCGUCUUUGCCCUUUUGGGAAUGCAGCUCUUUGGGGGCCAGUUCAAUUUUGUUCAAGGGACCCCUCCGACCAACUUUGACACUUUCCCAGCAGCAAUAAUGACAGUAUUUCAGAUCUUGACUGGUGAAGACUGGAACGCAGUGAUGUAUGACGGUAUACAAUCUCAGGGUGGUGUCAACAAAGGAAUGGUGUUCUCAAUCUAUUUUAUUGUACUGACCUUGUUUGGUAACUACACCUUGCUCAAUGUCUUCUUGGCUAUCGCUGUGGAUAAUCUAGCCAAUGCACAAGAACUCACCAAGGAUGAACAAGAAGAAGAAGAAGCAGCCAACCAGAAACUUGCUCUCCAGAAGGCAAAAGAGGUAGCAGAAGUGAGCCCUUUGUCUGCAGCCAACAUGUCGAUAGCAGUGAAAGAACAACAAAAAAACCAGAAAGCUGCCAAAUCCGUAUGGGAGCAGCGGACAAGUGAGAUGCGGAAGCAGAACUUGUUGGCAAGUCGGGAAGCGCUAUACAAUGAGCUGGACCCUGAGGAUCGCUGGAAGGUCAACUAUGCCCGGCAAAUGCGGCCGGAUAUGAAAACUCACUUAGACCGGCCACUAGUGGUAGAUCCUCAGGAGAAUCGCAACAACAACACCAACAAGACGCGUCCCAAUGAACCACCCCUGGACCAGCACUUUGGACAGCAGCGGCCUGAAGAAUUCCUACGAAAGCCCCCUCGCUAUCAUGAGCACGCACAGGAUCCUCAUGCUUAUGAGUGCCCUGACUCUAGUAGCCUAGAGCCGCGACGCCCACGGAGCUGCAGCAAAGAGACUGACUUUAGCCAGGACAGCAGGUACCAUGAGAUUGACUACCCCAGCAAGGAGCACAAUGCUAUCAUCGACCGUGGCUAUCGUGGGGACUAUGACUCAGAGCGCAUCAAAGUGCUGGACCCACAUCGGCAUCACCGAGGCAGCAAAGAGAGCCGUAGUGGGUCUCCCCGUACAGCCGAUGGUGAUCGGGAACACAGGCGGCAUCGGGCUCACCGCCGGACACCAGAUGAGGGUGGUGGUGAGGAGACUGGCAAAAGUGAGCGCCGGCCUCGGCACCGUGAGGGGAGCAGGCCCGCACGGGGUGAUGUCGAUGGGGAACAGCCUGAUGGAGAAAGGCGCCGACGGCACCGGCAUACUGCGCAGUCCACCUAUGAUGCUGAUGGCAAGGAGCGCCGGCACCGGCGUAGGAAAGAGAACCAAGGCUCCGGCCUUCCACCUGGACCAAACCUGUCUACCACACGGCCAAUUCAGCAAGAUAUGGGGCGCAUAGAUCCCCCAGUGGCUGAGGAUAUUGACAACAUGAAAAAUAAUAAGCUGGCAACCAAUGACACCUCAAAUCCUCACACCAUCAACCACCCUCAGAAUCUUACCAAAGGAGGCAGUCACUCAAACUCCACAGCAAGCCACACCCCUCAAAACGUACCUGUUCCCUUAGACCAGCCACUCCCUAAUUCUCAGAAUUCUGCCAAUCGCCGUGUGCCCAAUAACCCUGGCAAUCCAUCCAACCCAGGACCCCCUAAGAACCCCGAGAACAGUCUCAUUGUUACCAACCCCACCACCCAGAACAAUCCACCCCAGACUGCUAAGAAACCAGAGCACACGGCAGUGGAGAUCCCACCCACUUUCCCACCACCUAUUAACAAUGCUAUCAUGCAAGUGAACAAGAAUGCCAAUCCUGAGCCUCUGCCCAAGAAGGAAGAAGAGAAAAAGGAGGAAGAUGAUGAUGAUGGGGGAGAGAAUGGGCCCAAGCCCAUGCCACCAUACAGCUCUAUGUUCAUCCUUUCCACCACUAACCCAUUCCGGCGGCUGUGCCAUUACAUUGUCAAUCUGCGUUACUUUGAGAUCACCAUCCUGAUGGUGAUUGCCAUGAGCAGCAUUGCACUUGCUGCUGAAGAUCCUGUGCAGCCAAGUGCUCCCCGUAACAAUGUUCUUCGUUACUUUGACUAUGUCUUUACAGGUGUCUUCACCUUUGAAAUGGUUGUUAAGAUGAUAGACUUAGGACUGGUUCUUCAUCAAGGUGCCUAUUUCCGAGACCUGUGGAACAUCCUGGAUUUCAUUGUGGUCAGUGGAGCAUUGGUGGCAUUUGCCUUCACGAGCAGCUCACGAGGCAGCAAAGGGAAAGACAUCAACACCAUUAAAUCCUUGCGUGUCCUUCGUGUCCUCAGACCCCUCAAAACUAUCAAGCGAUUGCCAAAGCUCAAGGCUGUCUUUGAUUGCGUGGUGAACUCGCUCAAAAAUGUCUUCAACAUCCUCAUUGUCUACAUGCUCUUCAUGUUCAUCUUUGCUGUGGUGGCCGUCCAGCUCUUCAAGGGCAAGUUCUUCUUCUGCACUGAUGAGUCCAAGGAAUUUGAAAAGGAUUGCAAGGGAGAGUACCUAGUCUAUGAAAAAAACAAUGAGGUAAAAGCUGAGAAACGAGAGUGGAAGAAAUAUGAUUUCCAUUAUGACAACGUGUUGUGGGCGCUCCUUACCCUUUUCACAGUAUCUACAGGAGAAGGCUGGCCACAAGUCCUCAAGAACUCAGUGGAUGCUACAUAUGAGAAUCAGGGCCCAAGCCCUGGUUAUCGCAUGGAGAUGUCCAUCUUCUAUGUGGUCUACUUUGUGGUCUUCCCAUUUUUCUUUGUCAACAUUUUUGUGGCCUUAAUCAUCAUCACCUUCCAGGAGCAGGGGGACAAGAUGAUGGAAGAGUACAGCCUGGAGAAGAAUGAGCGAGCCUGCAUUGACUUUGCCAUCAGCGCCAAGCCACUUACCCGGCACAUGCCCCAGAACAAGCAGAGCUUUCAGUAUCGCAUGUGGCAGUUCGUAGUUUCACCACCCUUUGAGUACACCGUUAUGGCCAUGAUUGCCCUCAACACCAUCGUCUUAAUGAUGAAAUACUACAAUGCCUCAGCUCUAUAUGAAACAGUACUUAGGAUGUUCAACAUUGUCUUUACUGCCCUAUUCUCUUUGGAAUGUGUUCUGAAAAUCAUUGCCUUUGGAGUGCUGAAUUAUUUCCGUGAUGCCUGGAAUAUCUUUGAUUUUGUCACAGUUCUGGGUAGCAUCACAGACAUCUUAGUGACAGAGUUUGGGAACAACUUCAUCAACCUGAGUUUCCUUAGGCUAUUCCGAGCUGCCCGCCUCAUUAAGCUGCUCCGACAAGGCUACACCAUCCGCAUCCUGCUUUGGACCUUUGUCCAGUCUUUUAAGGCCCUUCCAUAUGUGUGCCUUCUGAUUGCAAUGCUCUUUUUCAUCUAUGCCAUCAUUGGCAUGCAGGUGUUUGGUAACAUUGGCAUUAAAGAUGAGGAUUCUUCAAUCAAUGAGCACAACAACUUCCGCACGUUCUUUCAGGCCCUGAUGCUUCUCUUUAGGAGUGCCACAGGUGAGGCUUGGCAUGAAAUCAUGCUCUCCUGUCUGAGUGAAAAGGCCUGUGAUGAGAAAGCAGAUGCCAAAGGCAGCGAGUGUGGCAAUGAAUUUGCAUACUUCUAUUUUGUUUCCUUCAUCUUCCUGUGCUCUUUCCUGAUGUUGAACCUUUUUGUGGCUGUCAUCAUGGAUAACUUUGAGUACCUGACACGGGACUCCUCUAUUUUGGGGCCUCACCACCUGGACGAGUAUGUGCGCGUGUGGGCUGAGUAUGACCCUUCUGCCUGUGGCCGAAUUCAUUAUAAGGAUAUGUACAGUUUAUUACGUGUAAUAUCUCCCCCCCUGGGCUUAGGCAAGAAAUGCCCUCAUAGGGUUGCUUGCAAGAGACUACUUCGUAUGGAUUUGCCUGUAGCAGACGACAAUACAGUCCAUUUUAAUUCCACCCUCAUGGCAUUGAUUCGGACUGCGCUUGACAUCAAAAUUGCUAAAGGGGGGGCAGACAAACAGCAGAUGGAUUCUGAGCUGAGAAAAGAGAUGAUGGCAAUUUGGCCCAACCUCUCCCAGAAAACGCUGGAUCUCCUAGUCACCCCUCACAAAUCCACCGACUUGACAGUGGGCAAAAUCUAUGCAGCCAUGAUGAUCAUGGAAUAUUACCGCCAAAGCAAGGCCAAGAAAUUGCAAGCUAUGCGAGAGGAGCAGAAUCGGACACCACUUAUGUUCCAACGCAUGGAACCACCAUCCCCAUCCCAGGAAGGUGGUCAAGGACAGAAUGCUCUCCCCUCAUCACAACUGGAUCAAGGUGGAAUGAGCAUGCAGGAAGGGGGAAUGAAAGAAAGUGAGUCAUGGGUCACGCAGCGAGCCCAGGAGAUGUUCCAGAAGACAGGAACCUGGAGCCCAGAGCGAGGGCACCCAGAGGACAUGCCAAAUAGCCGGACCAAUUCCCAGUCUGUAGAGAUGCGGGAGAUGGCAAAGGAUGGUUACUCAGACAGUGACCCAUACCUGCCCAUGGAAGGUCAUGGACGUGCUGCUUCCAUGCCGCGAUUGCCUGCUGAGAACCAGAGGAGGAAGGCGCGACCGCGAGGGAAUAAUCUCAGUACAAUCACAGAUGCAAGCCCCAUGAAACGCUCUGCCUCCAUGUUGGGCCACUCACGCUCCAAAGGCAUGCGCUUGGAUGAUUAUUCUUUGGAACGGGUAAUCCCAGAGGAGAACCAGCGGCAUCACCGGCGGCGGGAAAGGGGCCACCGGACAUCAGAGCGCUCACUCAGCCGAUAUACAGAUGUGGACACAGGGCUGGGUACAGACCUCAGUAUGACCACGCAGUCAGGUGACCUACCUCCCAAAGAAAGAGACCAGGAACGAGGCAGGCCAAAAGACCGGAAACAUCAUCAUCACCACCACCACCAUCAUCACCACCACACAUCUUCUGACAAGGAGCGGUACUCACAGGAGAGGCACGAAUACAGCCGGCCUCGCUCUAGAGAUCGACGUUGGUCCCGCUCACCCAGCGAGGGCCGAGACCAUAUGCCUCACAGGCAGUUCCCUCCUCCCCCAGUUGCUCAGAGGCUGGACUUCAGCCAGUCACGGACAGGAAAUGCAGUCCACAUACACUGAGAUUUUUUUUGUAACAACAUUACUCAAGCAUGUCAUGCCAUUUUUGAACUUUUUGCCUUUUUCAGUUAUACAAUUUGCAUACAUCCCUGUUGAACACCUACUUCAAUUAUCUUUAAAGUAGCAAAGAGCACAAAUCUUUCAUACCUCAAAAAGAUAUGUGUGGGCUAAAUAUUGUACUAUUGUUGCUAAAAUUUACUUGUGGAAAUAUCUUACAAUUCCUUUAAUGCAUGUUGCACACACACUGAGUUGUCAAAUAAAAGGGCUAUAUGUGAUGGUGUUCCAUCUGUUUGGCACGAGAGUCAACUGGUCUGAGAAGAGAGGACAGAAAACAUAGCAGCAUAAUUCCUCACAGGAGGUCAAACGGCAUAUAUACACUUGAAAUUAAUGUCUGCUUAGUUGCUGUGGCGUUCUACGGCUCCCAAAAAUACUGGAAAUUAUUUGGUGAGAGUGCUAAGAAUUCUAUUAGAGAUAGCUUGUACACCUCACAGAACUACAUUUCCCAGGAAUCUCUGUGGAGAAAAACUGACAAACCAAUCUAUAGUAUGAAUAUGCCUAUACAAACUACUGUGUGUAUUGCUGAGAUUUAGGAAGGUGUGGAUGUUAUCCACUACUUAUGUGCCAUACUGUGACUACAUAAAAAUAUUUUAUUUCCAGUAAAUGGGACAAAAAAUUAUCUAGUACAUUUUGGUUCAAGUGAUUCCUUCCUUUACUCUACCUCAGCAGUUAUUUGAUCCACAGAGAAUCCAUUUACCCGUCCUUUUUAUCAGACAUUUGUGACAGGCAUCCCAUAAAAACUUGCCAGCUAUCAGCUUCCAGUUGGUUGAUCUGCUGUUUGUAUACAGAGCGGAACCAGUAAGCCCAGGUCUUUCAAUCACAUGAAAAUGACAUACUAUUAAAUGACAUACUAUUAAAAUGACAUACUAUUUGUCUCUGCUUCAGAGCCAUAGCAAAGGGGAACUGCACCCAGGGCACGUGUGCUCCCCACGCCCCUGCACCGGUGCAUGCCCGGUGCGUCACACACACACACACCCGUCCCAUUGGCAGCUCUGCUUUUUCCAAAGGGAAAAUCAGCAGGGGUUAUUAUGGCAACUGUGUUGAGGAGCUGGGUGGGGAAUUCUGUUGUUGGAAAUAUCAUAGGAGGCAGUCUUUCUCAAAAUAACCAGACCCAUGCAGUCUAGCAAAGGCUGUUUUUUUCCCCAUAGCGGUCAGUCUUGAAUAAUUCAAUUGCAAUGAUUGUAGUGCUCAUGUGUUGAGGCAUUGCUUUGCAACAAUAGGGCCAGAAUUGUUGAUCAGUGUAAUUAUUUUUGGAUCCAUCUUAUACUGAUGGGAUCUACAAAGUGUGUUUGCUGUCACCAGUCCACAUAUUAUAUAUGCAAGGGAAUGAAGAAUUAAGCUUGCCUAAAUCACAGUGAGACACUUGCGCCAGAUUCAGCAUACACAUUUGCACUGUAGUAGAAAAUACAAAAGUGAAGUGUUUGCCAGUCCUUAUUGCAAGUAUGCUCCUUUAAUAAUCAGUUAAUGCCCUGGUGGGAUAUAAGGCUAAGCUCCCAAGAUGGCUGGCAUGUGUGGUGAUAAUUUGUGAGCUCCACUGCAGUUUUGUUGAGGGAUGUUUAGUAAUUAAUCUGCAGUGACUUGAUGACAAAUGCUCCUUUUAUUCCAUUAUUUUCAGUUUAGCUCCCACCACCCCAUUCCAUGCAAAGUCUGUUUUUUUUUCAUUUAUUUCUGUUGGAAAAUUUGGACACUUUACUCAGGGUCUUGUGGCCAAUCUGCCUUUAUUUACAUGUUUAUUUCUGUAUCCGUUGUGCUUGGCUCUGCUGUCACGGCGAGGGGCGGGCGCAGUAGUUCCGUAAGUGGGAGUCCGGUCCUCUCUACGUCUGGCACCAGCACCCCGAGGCGAGGCCGCCGCCAGCUCCCACAGACCCCUUCUACGCCCCGGCCACACAUCUCCUACUCCCCCGUGGUCCGCAAGGCCGUC